rnacentral:rRNA from 1 species
CCUACGGGUGGCAGCAGUGAGGAAUAUUGGUCAAUGGACGGAAGUCUGAACCAGCCAUGUCGCGUGCAGGAUGACGGCCCUAUGAGUUGUAAACUUCUUUUGUAUGGGGAUAAAAUGUUCCACGUGUGGGAUUUUGUAUGUACCAUAUGAAUAAGGAUCGGCUAACUCCGUGCCAGCAGCCGCGGUAAUACGGAGAAUCCGAGCGUUAUCCGGAUUUAUUGGGUUUAAAGGGAGCGUAGGUGGAUUGUUAAGUCAGUUGUGAAAGUUUGAGGCUCAACCGAAAAAGUGCAGUUGAAACUGGCAGUCUUGAGUACAGUAGAGGCGGGCGGAAUGUGUGGUGUAGCGGUGAAAUGCUUAGAUAUCACGAAGAACGCCGAUUGCGAAGGCAGUUCACUGGACUGCAACUGACACUGAGGCUCGAAAGUGUGGGUAUCAAACAGGAUUAGAUACCCGAGUAGUC